CCUACGGGUGGCUGCAGUGGGGGAUAUUGCACAAUGGGGGGAACCCUGAUGCAGCGACGCCGCGUGGGUGAAGGAGUGCUUCGGCAUGUAAAGCCCUAUCGGCAGGGAAGAAGCAAGACGGUACCUGACUAAGAAGCCCCGGCUAACUACGUGCCAGCAGCCGCGGUAAUACGGAGGGUGCGAGCGUUAAUCGGAAUUACUGGGCGUAAAGCGCUCGUAGGCGGUAUGUCAAGUCAAGGGUGAAAUCCCCGCGCUCAACGUGGGAACUGCCUUUGAAACUGGCAAACUGGAGUGUGUGAGAGGAUAGUGGAAUUCCAGGUGUAGGAGUGAAAUCCGUAGAUAUCUGGAGGAACAUCAGUGGCGAAGGCGACUAUCUGGCACAUAACUGACGCUGAGGAGCGAAAGCGUGGGUAGCAAACAGGAUUAGAUACCCGGGUAGUC
rnacentral:rRNA from 1 species